UACGUAGGGGGCGAGCGUUGUCCGAAGUUACUGGGCGUAAAGCGUGCGCAGGCGGUGAUGUAAGACAGGUGUGAAAUCCCCGGGCUUAACCUGGGAACUGCGUUUGAAACUGGAAGGCUAGAGUGUGGCAGAGGGGGGUGGAAUUCCACGUGUAGCAGUGAAAUGCGUAGAUAUGUGGAGGAACACCGAUGGCGAAGGCAGCCCCCUGGGCUAACACUGACGCUCAUGCACGAAAGCGUGGGGAGCAAACAGG
rnacentral:rRNA from 1 species